rnacentral:rRNA from 1 species
AACGAACGCUGGCGGCAGGCCUAACACAUGCAAGUCGAACGCCCUAGCAAUAGGGAGUGGCAGACGGGUGAGUAACACGUGGGAACGUGCCCUUCGGUUCGGAAUAACUCAGGGAAACUUGAGCUAAUACCGGAUACGUGCGAGAGCAGAAAGAUUUAUCGCCGAAGGAUCGGCCCGCGUCCGAUUAGCUAGUUGGUGAGGUAAUGGCUCACCAAGGCGACGAUCGGUAGCUGGUCUGAGAGGAUGACCAGCCGCACUGGGACUGAGACACGGCCCAGACUCCUACGGGAGGCAGCAGUGGGGAAUAUUGGACAAUGGGCGCUAGCCUGAUCCAGCCAUGCCGCGUGAGUGAUGAAGGCCCUAGGGUUGUAAAGCUCUUUCGCCAGGGACGAUAAUGACGGUACCUGGAUAAGAAGCCCCGGCUAACUUCGUGCCAGCCGCCGCGGUAA